rnacentral:rRNA from 1 species
GUUUGAUUAUGGCUCAGGAUGAACGCUGGCGGCAUGCCUAAUACAUGCAAGUCGAACGGAGUGAAGCCUUCGGGUUUCAUUCAGUGGCGAACGGGUGAGUAAUACGCAGGGAACCUGGCCAUGGCAGGGGGAUACACUCUGGAAACGGAGCAUAAGACCCCAUAGGCAGUAAGGCGGCAUCGCCUUGCUGUUAAAGAAAGCUGAAAGGCUUUGGCGAUGGAUGGACCUGCGGUGCAUUAGCUUGUUGGUGAGGCAACGGCUUACCAAGGCGAUGAUGCAUAGCCGGCCUGAGAGGGCGGACGGCCACACUGGGACUGAGACACGGCCCAGACUCCUGCGGGAGGCAGCAGUAGGGAAUUUUCGUCAAUGGGCGCAAGCCUGAACGAGCAAUGCCGCGUGAGUGAGGAAGGUCUUCGGACUGUAAAGCUCUGUUGCCGGGGAAAAAGGGGAAAUGCAGGAAAUGGCAUUUCAUGGAUGGUACCCGGCCAGAAAGCCACGGCUAACUACGUGCCAGCAGCCGCGGUAAUACGUAGGUGGCGAGCGUUAUCCGGAAUGAUUGGGCGUAAAGGGUGCGCAGGCGGUCUGUUAAGUCUGAAGGCAAAGGGAUGAGCUCAACUCAUUUAUGAUUCAGAAACUGGCAGACUUGAGGACAGGAGAGGGCGGUGGAACUCCAUGUGUAGCGGUAAAAUGCGCAGAGAUAUGGAAGAACACCAGUGGCGAAGGCGACCGCCUGGCCUGUGACUGACGCUGAGGCACGAAAGCGUGGGGAGCAAAUAGGAUUAGAUACCCUAGUAGUCCACGCCGUAAACGAUGAGGAGCAGGUGUUGGGAGUGAAAUCUCAGUGCCGAAGCCAACGCAGUGACUCCUCCGCCUGGGGAGUAUGCACGCAAGUGUGAAACUCAAAGGAAUUGACGGGGGCCCGCACAAGCGGUGGAGUAUGUGGUUUAAUUCGAAGCAACGCGAAGAACCUUACCAGGUUUUGACAUCGGAUGCGAAGGCGCAGAGAUGCGCUGGAGGCUAUCAUCCAGACAGGUGGUGCAUGGUUGUCGUCAGCUCGUGUCGUGAGAUGUUCAGUUAAGUCUGGCAACGAGCGCAACCCCCGUGGUAUGUUACUAACGCAUUUGGGCGAGGACUCAUAUCAGACUGCCGGUGACAAACCGGAGGAAGGCGGGGAUGACGUCAAAUCAUCAUGCCCCUUAUGACCUGGGCUACACACGUACUACAAUGGCGUCUACAGAGGGAAGCGACCCUGAGAAGGGAAGCGAAACCGGAAAAGGGCGUCCCAGUUCGGAUUGAAGUCUGCAACCCGACUUCAUGAAGAUGGAAUCGCUAGUAAUCGCGGAUCAGCAUGCCGCGGUGAAUACGUUCCCGGGCCUUGUACACACCGCCCGUCAAACCAUGGAAGCCGGCAACGCCCGAAGCCGGUGGCAUAACCUUUUAGGAGUGAGCCGUCGAAGGCGGGGCCGAUGACUGGGGUUAAGUCGUAACAAGGUACCC